rnacentral:lncRNA from 1 species
UUACCUGUAAUGUUCUCAAGGAGUUUAAGAGUGAUAAAAGUAUCCAGGCAAUAAUUUUGGACAAUACAAGUGUUAAUACAGGUAAAGAUAAUGGUUUAGUUGCUUGUCUUGAAAGAAUAUU